rnacentral:rRNA from 1 species
AGACCCGAAACCCGGUGAUCUAGCCAUGGGCAGGUUGAAGGUUGGGUAACACUAACUGGAGGACCGAACCGACUAAUGUUGAAAAAUUAGCGGAUGACCUGUGGCUGGGGGUGAAAGGCCAAUCAAACCGGGAGAUAGCUGGUUCUCCCCGAAAGCUAUUUAGGUAGCGCCUCGUGAAUUCAUCUCCGGGGGUAGAGCACUGUUUCGGCUAGGGGGCCAUCCCGGCUUACCAACCCGAUGCAAACUGCGAAUACCGGAGAAUGUUAUCACGGGAGACACACGGCGGGUGCUAACGUCCGUCGUGAAGAGGGAAACAACCCAGACCGCCAGCUAAGGUCCCAAAGUCAUGGUUAAGUGGGAAACGAUGUGGGAAGGCCCAGACAGCCAGGAUGUUGGCUUAGAAGCAGCCAUCAUUUAAAGAAAGCGUAAUAGCUCACUGGUCGAGUCGGCCUGCGCGGAAGAUGUAACGGGGCUAAACCAUGCACCGAAGCUGCGGCAGCGAACGUAUCACUUAAAGCGAUUCAGCGGGUUACGAUUGACGGAGCGAAGCGACGUCAAAGCGUAUACAAAGUCGAGUCGGUUUAAGGAUACGUUCGUUGGGUAGGGGAGCGUUCUGUAAGCCUGUGAAGGUGGCCUGUGAGGGUUGCUGGAGGUAUCAGAAGUGCGAAUGCUGACAUAAGUAACGAUAAAGCGGGUGAAAAGCCCGCUCGCCGGAAGACCAAGGGUUCCUGUCCAACGUUAAUCGGGGCAGGGUGAGUCGACCCCUAAGGCGAGGCCGAAAGGCGUAGUCGAUGGGAAACGGGUUAAUAUUCCCGUACUUGGUGUUACUGCGAAGGGGGGACGGAGAAGGCUAUGUUGGCCGGGCGACGGUUGUCCCGGUUUAAGCGUGUAGGUGUGUGUUCCAGGUAAAUCCGGUUCACUUUAACACUGAGGCGUGAUGACGAGGCACUACGGUGCUGAAGCAACAAAUGCCCUGCUUCCAGGAAAAGCCUCUAAGCAUCAGGUAACAUCAAAUCGUACCCCAAACCGACACAGGUGGUCAGGUAGAGAAUACCAAGGCGCUUGAGAGAACUCGGGUGAAGGAACUAGGCAAAAUGGUGCCGUAACUUCGGGAGAAGGCACGCUGACACGUAGGUGAAGUGAUUUACUCACGGAGCUGAAGUCAGUCGAAGAUACCAGCUGGCUGCAACUGUUUAUUAAAAACACAGCACUGUGCAAACACGAAAGUGGACGUAUACGGUGUGACGCCUGCCCGGUGCCGGAAGGUUAAUUGAUGGGGUCAGCGCAAGCGAAGCUCCUGAUCGAAGCCCCGGUAAACGGCGGCCGUAACUAUAACGGUCCUAAGGUAGCGAAAUUCCUUGUCGGGUAAGUUCCGACCUGCACGAAUGGCGUAAUGAUGGCCAGGCUGUCUCCACCCGAGACUCAGUGAAAUUGAACUCGCUGUGAAGAUGCAGUGUACCCGCGGCAAGACGGAAAGACCCCGUGAACCUUUACUAUAGCUUGACACUGAACAUUGAGCCUUGAUGUGUAGGAUAGGUGGGAGGCUUUGAAGCGUGGACGCCAGUCUGCGUGGAGCCGACCUUGAAAUACCACCCUUUAAUGUUUGAUGUUCUAACGUGGACCCGUAAUCCGGGUUGCGGACAGUGUCUGGUGGGUAGUUUGACUGGGGCGGUCUCCUCCUAAAGAGUAACGGAGGAGCACGAAGGUUGGCUAAUCCUGGUCGGACAUCAGGAGGUUAGUGCAAUGGCAUAAGCCAGCUUGACUGCGAGCGUGACGGCGCGAGCAGGUGCGAAAGCAGGUCAUAGUGAUCCGGUGGUUCUGAAUGGAAGGGCCAUCGCUCAACGGAUAAAAGGUACUCCGGGGAUAACAGGCUGAUACCGCCCAAGAGUUCAUAUCGACGGCGGUGUUUGGCACCUCGAUGUCGGCUCAUCACAUCCUGGGGCUGAAGUAGGUCCCAAGGGUAUGGCUGUUCGCCAUUUAAAGUGGUACGCGAGCUGGGUUUAGAACGUCGUGAGACAGUUCGGUCCCUAUCUGCCGUGGGCGCUGGAGAACUGAGGGGGGCUGCUCCUAGUACGAGAGGACCGGAGUGGACGCAUCACUGGUGUUCGGGUUGUCAUGCCAAUGGCACUGCCCGGUAGCUAAAUGCGGAAGAGAUAAGUGCUGAAAGCAUCUAAGCACGAAACUUGCCCCGAGAUGAGUUCUCCCUGAGACUUAGAGUCUCCUGAAGGAACGUUGAAGACGACGACGUUGAUAGGCCGGGUGUGUAAGCGCAGCGAUGCGUUGAGCUAACCGGUACUAAUGAACCGUGAGGCUUAACCUUACA